rnacentral:rRNA from 1 species
UGAGUAAUGCUUGGGAAUCUAGCUUAUGGAGGGGGAUAACUACGGGAAACUGUAGCUAAUACCGCGUAAUAUCGAAAGAUUAAAGUGUGGGACCUUCGGGCCACAUGCCAUAGGAUGAGCCCAAGUGGGAUUAGGUAGUUGGUGAGGUAAAGGCUCACCAAGCCGACGAUCUCUAGCUGGUCUGAGAGGAUGACCAGCCACACUGGGACUGAGACACGGCCCAG